rnacentral:rRNA from 1 species
AUUGAACGCUAGCGACAGGCCUAACACAUGCAAGUCGAGGGGCAGCACAUGAGUAGCAAUACGAUGGUGGCGACCGGCGCACGGGUGAGUAACACGUAUGCAACCUGCCUUCUACUAUGGGAUAACCCGUUGAAAGACGGACUAAUACCGUAUAAUACAGGGGCUCCGCAUGGAGAUAUUUGUUAAAGAUUUAUUGGUAGAAGAUGGGCAUGCGUAUGAUUAGAUAGUUGGUGAGGUAACGGCUCACCAAGUCAACGAUCAUUAGGGGUUCUGAGAGGAAGGUCCCCCACACUGGUACUGAGACACGGACCAGACUCCUACGGGAGGCGGCAGUGAGGGAUAUUGGCCAAUGGACGAGAGUCUGAACCAGCCAAGUCGCGUGAAGGAAGACGGUUCUAUGAAUUGUAAACUUCUUUUGUGCAGGAAUAAAGUGGGUUACGUGUAACCUUUUGUAUGUACUGUACGAAUAAGGAUCGGCUAACUCCGUGCCAGCCGCCGCAGUAAUAC